AUCUGGAAGCCAUGGAAGAACAUAUUCCUGUUUAUUGGCAAAGCUGCCACCAUUUAAUUGGUAUCAGAUUCUGACUUGCACAAGUAACAUUC